UGGCUCAGAUUGAACGCUGGCGGCAGGCCUAACACAUGCAAGUCGAGCGGAAACGACACUAACAUCCUUCGGGUGCGUUAAUGGGCGUCGAGCGGCGGACGGGUGAGUAAUGCCUAGGAAAUUGCCUUGAUGUGGGGGAUAACCAUUGGAAACGAUGGCUAAUACCGCAUAAUGCCUACGGGCCAAAGAGGGGGACCUUCGGGCCUCUCGCGUCAAGAUAUGCCUAGGUGGGAUUAGCUAGUUGGUGAGGUAAUGGCUCACCAAGGCGACGAUCCCUAGCUGGUCUGAGAGGAUGAUCAGCCACACUGGAACUGAGACACGGUCCAGACUCCUACGGGAGGCAGCAGUGGGGAAUAUUGCUCAAUGGGCGAAAGCCUGAUGCAGCCAUGCCGCGUGUAUGAAGAAGGCCUUCGGGUUGUAAAGUACUUUCAGUUGUGAGGAAGGGGGUAGNGUUAAUAGCGAUAUCUCUUGACGUUAGCUACAGAAGAA
rnacentral:rRNA from 1 species